CGGCAAUCGCUCAUCCACCAAUACAGUGCAGCACCAAAUUUGCGCAUAAUCGUGUCCCGACUCUCACACACCAACCAAAGAAGAACCGGUGAAAAAAGGCACCAGCAGAAGCAUAAAAAGCUGCUCAGGGACCUUUUGCGUCAAUCCUUCGCCGAGCCAUUCAUCCUGCCAACCGACAAUGAGCAACGAUCCGGAAAAAGGGCACACCGAAGAUUCAUACACAUAGCGUUAAUGCUAUGUACAAACAGUAGUCGUCGGUCUUCCACUUCUGCUCCCAUUCCCAGCAAACCCAGGCGUUUGUUGCCUUUCACAGUCGUUCUUCAGCGACGGCAGAUGAUGAUGAUGGCAUAUUAUGGCACCCAAGCAGGCCAUGUGCCCUGGGUGUGUCUGGGUAUUGGUGCUCAUUUCGCCUACUACGAGCGAGCGAGCGCUGGGUGACGCCCCCUUGCUCGACAGCUCUCUUUCUCACUCGUGCGCUCAUCACCGCGAGACUCUGCCACUUUGGCUCCCAGAGAUCGCGCUGGGACUCUCAUGGGGACGGGUGAUGAGAUGUGGGGGUGCGCGCUGGAGGAGAGGAGAGACCCCAACAAAGUGGUAGUUGCUGCUUGUUAGCUCAUUAUGAAGCGGGCGGAAAACUAACAGUAACGAAAUGUUUGAGCAAACAGAACGAACCGAGAGAGAGAGGGAGUCCGCGGGAGUGGUUUGGGCGGUAGUUGCGCUUGUUGUGGAGAAGUGAUGCGAAGAAAAGUGCAGCGUUGUGGAAAAUGUACAACAUCGAGAGAAACCUGCUGCUGCUGCUGGCACUUGGACACGCCAAGGAGUGGGAUCAUCCUGCGGCUGUUCGGAUCUUCUUUUUUUGAUCCAGAAGGAUCUCAUCUCAUCCUCCGACCCAAGAGGAUCCCGCAAAACAUAAGAUGAGAUGCAUCCCAAUUUGGCGAUUGUCGGUCAGCGUGCAAAAUUUAGCAUAUCCCACGACCGCAUUUUGGGCGAUGCAGCUGACGGAAUCCACUCUGGGCUCCGAUUCCACGGUGGGUUGGUAAUCCGGUUAGAGGGUCCGAACACUAUGGGUGAGAAGAAAUAACAAAAACCUAAUGAGGCCGGCCGGCCGGUUCUCUUUGGAACGUUUCCCGGGUGUUUUGAGGAUGCCGCCACCAACGGGCCCGAGUUUGCAAGAUCAAGGCGGAACCUCGUUAAUCCGACUAAAACAUCCGUAAUCCGGAACCGGAGAGCCGUGGGCGGCAUGCCAGUGAUGAGCGGUAUUCUUGUUGCGAUCAAUGGGAGAGGUGUUCUACGUGAAUUUGGUUUGUUCAAAGUAGUUUGAAUGAUUUC